rnacentral:tRNA from 1 species
GCUAGCGUGGCAGAGCUCGGCAAAUGCAAAAGGCUUAAGUCCUUUCUCCAGAGGUUCAAGUCCUCUCCCUAGCU